rnacentral:misc_RNA from 1 species
GGCGUUCCAGUCGAGGCGACAGAGCGGCGCCUCGCGUCGCCUGGCGCGUCGCCUGGGCGCCUGGCUCGCCUUUAAUAACACUGUUUAGUGCUGAUUCCUUCUACAGCUGUUACAGUUGCUGAUGGUAGAAAAUUGAGAUGUGAACACAUGAGCCAAAAUUUUAAAUGGGAAAUGCAGGAAUUGGAGUUUGCAUUUGAUUUUAGAAUUUUGGAGCCAAGGGGAUUUGAUAUGAUUCCAGGGGUGGAUUGGUUAAGAAAUCAUAAACCUGUUUUGUUUGAUUUUGCGACUCUGAAAUUGUUAUUACAAGGAAUGAGAGUACAGUGUCACUGAAAGGAAUUAGUGAGGGAUCCCUACAGUCUAGAUUAUGGCAAUUUAAGAAUAUUUUUUACAGAAACGGCGUGGAUUUUCAAAGUCCUCUAUUUUGCAUUGUGAGUCCCAACUUGUCUGAAACUUGUCUAAAUGUUGUGUCUUCUGGUCCUAUGAAUGAUAAAGGGUUGCAGCCAGUGUUGUAAAAGUCGAGCAGAGGCGCCAGGCCAGUCGAGCGGCAAGGUGAGGCAAGGCGAGGCGAGGCAAGGCUGAGGCCUAGGCGAGGCAACUGCAAAGAGGCGAAUGCCCCAGACCUAAGAGGCGACAGUCGACAGACCAUGAGGCGCCGCCUCAUGAAAGUAACGGAAAGAUUUUUUUUCCCCCUUAAAAGCCAAAAAACAUAAGUAACCCUAAAAUCGACUUCACUUACCUCGCAUGCUGCCUUAUGAUCAUUUUUUUUCCUUUUUU